rnacentral:rRNA from 1 species
AGUGAACGCUGGCGGUAGGCCUAACACAUGCAAGUCGAACGGCGGCACAGUAAGAGCUUGCUCUUACGGGUGGCGAGUGGCGGACGGGUGAGGAAUACAUCGGAAUCUACUUUUUCGUGGGGGAUGACGUAGGGAAACUUACGCUAAUACCGCAUACGACCUACGGGUGAAAGCAGGGGAUCUUCGGACCUUGCGCGAUUGAAUGAGCCGAUGUCGGAUUAGCUAGUUGGCGGGGUAAAGGCCCACCAAGGCGACGAUCCGUAGCUGGUCGGAGAGGAUGAUCAGCCACACUGGAACUGGGACAGCGUCCAGACUCCUACGGGAGGCAGCAGUGGGGAAUAUUGGGCAAUGGGCGCAAGCAUGAUCCAGCCAUACCGCGUGGGUGAAGAAGGCCUUCGGGUUGUAAAGACCUUUUGUUGGGAAAGAAAAGCAGCAGGUUAAUACCCCGCUGUUCUGACGGUACCCAAAGAAUAAGCACCGGCUAACUUCGUG